AAAAUGAGUAGUAUAGGGAAUGAGGGUUCUAGACCACUUUUUCGGCCCGCGAUCUCACCCAACUUCCGGUCAGCGGUUUCCAUAUUUUUCCCUCAAAAACGCGGGCUCAUAUUUUUCUAGACAAUUUUUCUAUUAUUUUUGGUAUUAUUUUUUCUAUUAUUUUUGGCAUUAUUUUUUCUAUUAUUUUUGGCGUUAUUUUUUCUAUUAUUUUUCUAUUAUUUUUCAGCAUUAUUAUUUACAAGAAUUAUUAUCAUAUGCUAGGGCUCAUAUUUUUCUAGACCAUUUUUCAUCUAUUAUUUUUCAGAAUUAUUUUAAUCUUUAUUAUCAUAUUUAAUUAUACUCAAGGGGCCUAGGCUCUUAGGGUCAAACACAUUACUUGAAUCAUCUUUUUUAUCUUGUGUGCUCACUCCAAUGUUAAUAUUAUUUGAUACAGAGAAAUUUAUAUCACCAGCCUUCCCAGUUCUACUAGAACUCUUACGACAACCACAAAUCUUACCUAAGCAGGAGAAGCAUGACCUCCACCUUGACAUCUUAUCUUAUGAUAGACCACAUGUUAACUACCUGACCCCGAAUAUCGGAGUGACCAACAAAAAGACAUAUCCAUACUAGUCCCUGUUGGCAUUGAGUGUUCAGGUUUGACUAUAAUACACCAGGCUACCGUGUUAUCUACCAAGUCCGGCUGGCCUCCUAAAUAGAACAAACUAUUACCCUUGAAAACAUAGCAAGCUGUACUUCCACCGUUAUUCGUAAAAGUUCCAUUAAACCAAGUGUAAGUCAGUUUUGUUAAGUCCACCGUUCUUAGAGCGAUUUCCUUCCUUACCUGUGUAAAUUUUCCAUUAGAUUGUUUUUCCCAUACGGUAGCCCACAGGAUUAGGGAUAAGGGUAUGUUUAACCAGGUUUUAAAAAGUAGGAAAUCUGAUUUAAUAGUAAUUGACUCAAGAUUGAGGUCAGCCAUAUUAUUAAUGGGAUCAGUCCUCCAUGAAGGGGGAAUCUGAUUGUGGCAGUAGGCGUAGUACCUUGCCGCAGCAACUGCUACACCACGGUAACCCCAAAUCCAUUCUGCAUGUAUAUGUCGCCGUAUUCUUACAUAUCUUAAGUCAGCCGUUGCUUGAGUAAGACCAGUUGAAGGUUUUAGGAAAUUCUUUUCUACCCACUGUUUGUUAACAGCGUCCUUAUCAUUUACAGGGUCCUUUAGAUCAAGAAUACCACUUGAAUCUCCCAUGUCCAGAUCACCCUUUACCAGUCCACCUCUACUACUCAUGAACUCAUCUAUUGCCCACCUUUUAUUGACAGCUGAACCGUCAGUUGUAGGAUUUCCAACUCUAAUUAACUCAUAAUCGUUAACAUCAAGAUUACCUGACAAAACACCACCACCACGCUUCAGGAACUGUUUACACCAUAAGCUCAUAGAACUGUAGGAAACUGCAGCAGAGUCCCCAGCUGAGCCACUACUGAGACCUGUAAUACUAUAACCACCCAUGUCAAUAUUACCGCUCAUACUAAAGCCACUACUACUUACAGAACUCCCACUAACAUGAUCCGUGACCCAUUUCUUAGACACAGCAGAAUUAUCAGUUGUGGGAGCACCUAACUUUAUAAUUUCAUUGUUUCCCAUAUCAAGGUCAGCAGAUAGUGUAAGUCCACUGUAAGUCUCACGCCUCCUUCUACCACCGCUAAUCUUAUCUUCCACCCACUUUUUGUUAACUGCAGAUCCAUCAUCACUAGGAGCACCAACAUUUUCUAUUUCAUUUCCACCCAUCUUAAGUUUACCAGUCAUUACACUUGUACCGCUAAGCUCCAGGUAGGGUAGAAGACUUGACCUUAGGUACCCACGAUUUACAAGGGAACUGUCACUAACUGGAUUGCUAUUACAUGUAGGUGUAUUUGUGAAAUUAACAAUACCAGCAACAUUUAGUGAUCCCGUUCCGUCUAACCGUAAGAAAGUCCCUUCAUUUAGAUUAAACCAGCUUUUUGUUACAACAGACUGGGGAGUAGUUGGAUCAGCAACAUUCUCAAUUUUACCUCCACCCAUAUCAAUGUCCCCUACCAUUGUAAAACCUGCACCUGAGUAUACUCCACCUCUUGAAAUCCUAUCAACCACCCACUUCUUAUUUACAAGGGAGGAGUCCCUAUCGGGGACAGCGUUGGAAUAAAUUUGGAAAGUAUUUGUAUUCAUAUUUCCAGUCAUAGAGCCACCGGUUCUUUUAAGAUAAUUUGUGUCACUUAAUAUUCUAAAAGAAUUUAAGGCCGACGUCAGAGUAUUAUUAUUAACAGCGUCACCUCCACUUUUCGGAAUCGCAACAUUUUUAAUACGAUUUGCACCCAUGUCAAGUUCUCCUGUCAUUCUAAAACCAGUGGUAGUAGCAAAUAUUGACAGCUUACUCUCAACCCAACCCUUAGAUACAGCUUCACUAUUAAGUUUAGGUCCAAUAAGAUCAAAUAACCUCCAGCCUCCCAUGGAAACAUCUGCUUGCAUAAUUCCACCUUUCAAUCUAAAGUUAUUAUCAACCGCCCACUUUUUACUGACAGCAGACUGAUCCUCAGAGGGAUCCUUAAGAUUCUUAAUCUCAUGGUUUUUCAUAUCGAUAUCCCCAGCAAUAUCAAGUCCAGUUACAGGCCUAUUUAACAUUCCAACUACCCAGUCCUUACUAACAGCAGACUUUCCAGUUGUAGGAUCACCUAAAGCCUUUAUCUCAUUUGUUGACAUAUUGAGGUCAUUUGUAAGGAUAAGUCCAGGUAGACUUGCGUGUACAUGUCUACGGCUACCCUCAACCCAGCUCUUACUAGCAGCAUCACCUGGGUUAGUAGGAUUAUCAAGAUUAGUUAUUUUAUUACCUCCCAUGUCAAUAUCCCCAGUCAUUGUAAACCCUGCAGGUUGAAUUGUAAGGGCAGCCUGUUUGACUAUCUCAUCAUCCACCCACUUUUUUGUGACCGCAGACGUAUCAUCUGUUGGUGCACCCAGACCUUUCACCUCAUUACCAUCCAUCUCAAUGUCACCCUUCAUGGUAAAUCCAUCCUUAUCAAACACACUACCACUUGAUGGGUCAACUUUAUUUACUCCUUUGUUGUAUCCUCUAUAGAGAGCCAUUUUAUAGAAUACAUAAUGUUUACAGGAUAACUUUCAUUAGAAUGAAUACAACUAUAGCACCGAUUCCAGCUCCAGUGAUAGCGCUAACUCCUGAAGACUCAUGGGUACUAACCACAUCAUGUUUCAUGAUAGGAACAACUUGAGUCUCGGCACUUGUAGAACCUUCCUGAGGCUUAACUCUUGUAGGACCUCCCGGAACCUUUUUAUUUCCAUCAAUAGUAUCAAGGUGGUGAACUGGUGUAUUGUCUUGAUGCUGUUUCUUUGGGGGAUUAGCCUUCUUAACCCCAACAUAAUUAAGUUCGGUAUUAACUCCUCUUUUCAUAUCCUUUGUUGCGUUUUUUAGAAUAUUGUUAUACCCAGGUAUAGGCUUACUUAGAAUUAUGAGACUUGACGGAAUCAGAACAGUUCCAGGGGUGACGGCUGUGUUAAGUACAACAUUUGUGUCUCUAAUAGCAAUUCUCAUAUUACCUAGAGUUACAACAGGAUCAGCUUGAAUAACGCAAUCAUUUACCAGUGCGCUGAACUUAACCUGGGUAGCAGAUGACUUUCCAUAGCUUCCAGUGAUAGGUGAUCUGGUAGCUGCCUGUGCACCUAACACAGAGUAAACGUAAGCUUCAAUUGAUUCCCCUAAUAGAAGUAAGCCAGUUUUUGUAAGUCCAAAAUACGGAUCAGUCUGAGUACUAACAAACCUUAAAUAAUCAGACUUACUAACAAGUGCAACAGAUACUCUUUCCUCAUAGUGUACACGAAUUCCUUUUAGAAACCCAUUAACAGUCAUAACUGAAGAAUUGGUUACAUUUCUUACAGGAUUGCUACCGUCACCCCUACCCUUUAUCCAGUUACUUUUUUCCCAGUCGAGUCCAUAAUCGUAUACAACAUCAUAAUAAUCACUUUUCUUUACCCACUUACCCUUAACAGGUAUAUGCUUUUUAAUAGAAUCCAGCAUAUCCAUAUAGGGAACUAAUCUUUCAGGUUUGUACACAUACUUCCUAAUACAGUAGUAAAGGUGAAAGUUCAUUAUACUUGUUAUCACAGGGUAAGUAUCAUUACUAGGAGUAAGAUGACCACUUGUGAUUCCACAUAGAUAUGUUGCGAUAUAUGCGCCGCAAAGAGCUGCAAAGUAGGGUUUCUUAUAGUCGAACACUGUACUUACACCAUCAAUCUUAAUACUGUCUUCAAUUUUAGGAAGCAUAUUUCCGCCGGCCUCCCCGGAAGUUACAAAGAAGCUUUUACCGUCCACAUAAACCUUGAAUGAAUGUGCAGGAGUGUUCCACCCAAUUUUUGGAAACCAACUAAACCUAUCAAAUGUAUCGUUGUUGUUUAACUUAGCUUUUACAUUAGAACCCAACCUCCACUUUAGAGGCCAACCGUCAACUAAACCUAGAAUCUCACUUUUUGUAACCUUUGUAUCAGUCAUAGGUAUAAACUGUGCGGGGGUAAUAAUUUUCUUAGUACCUGUGAGAUAAUAUGUAAACUCCUUAUCCUUCUUAAAACCGUCAUAUCUAAUGUCAUAUGAACUUAUACCAUCUAAAUCCACAAACCAUGUAACAACUCCAAUAUCACCACUACUGGUAGUCAUGGCUUCAAACCUAAACCUGUUCAUAUCAGCCUUAGGAUAC